AGAUUGAACGCUGGCGGCAUGCCUUACACAUGCAAGUCGAACGGCAGCGCGGGAGCAAUCCUGGUGGCGAGUGGCGAACGGGUGAGUAAUACAUCGGAACGUGCCCAAUCGUGGGGGAUAACGCAGCGAAAGCUGUGCUAAUACCGCAUAAGAUCUACGGAUGAAAGCAGGGGAUCGCAAGACCUUGCGCGAAUGGAGCGGCCGAUGGCAGAUUAGGUAGUUGGUGAGGUAAAGGCGUCACCAAGCCUUCGAUCUGUAGCUGGUCUGAGAGGACGACCAGCCACACUGGGACUGAGACACGGCCCAGACCUCCGUACGGGAGGCCAGCAGGUAGGGGAUUUUGGACAGUGGGACGAAGCCUGAUCCAGCCAUCGCCGCGUCGCGAGGAGUCGAAGGUCCGUUCGGUUAGUAACGUU
rnacentral:rRNA from 1 species